rnacentral:lncRNA from 1 species
ACCUCCAAUUUUGUACUCAGCCUUCCGGCACUUUGUUAAUGUAAAAUUUUCUUUCGCCAUUCUGCGCUUACUAUUUUUCUUUUAUUUUCUUCGGUGGUAGGCGAGGUCGGUACUUCAACUUUUACCGACCUUCAAAUUUGUAUCUUAGCCCUUGGGGCUGCUUAUCAAUGAAAGCAUGUUUCUUGGCUAUGUAUUUUGCUUUUCUUUCCUCUAACUCAUUUAAGUGUUGGGAAGUUUGGACUCUGAGCUUGGACUCUGGGAAGUUUUAUCAAGUCCUGGAGCUCGGAUUUGGAGCUCGCAGGGGUCGCCAAGUUUGGCUUUUGGAUUUCUGGGGCACGAGGCUCGGGCCUCGGGCCCCCGAGAUAGACCUCGUUAGACUUGCAUAGGUCGCUAUUGGGGUAUCCGGCCAAGCUUUUGAGUUUGGCCUUUUUGGGGCGUAGGCCCAUGAAAAGUGUUAGGGUCGUUCCCCGAAGGGGAUCGUGAGCCAAUAGCCGAACUACCAUUGGGGCUUUCAUGGUUAUUGCCCUCGGGCUCCGCCGGGGUUCUGGCAAGCGGAGUCGGAACCUGUAGAAAGUGCCCUGGCCUUCUCGAACUCGAUCCGCUCACCCGUGGUCGAGGUCAUCUUCACAGGUCAAAGUGAAUGCCUCAAUGUAUGAGGGCCGAACCAGGCCCUUAUUCAAAAAGGUUUGUAUGCUUUGUCAGGGGGUCACCGGUAGAAGGAUCGUGGGCGAGGUCGGUGAGACCUCGGUCUUGGAUCAACUUGUAGGGGCGACCCAGCCUUGGCCGGGAUAGGGUCCCAAUCCCAUUCGGGAUUUCGCCGGCAAUACAUAAGUAAAUGAAUGUGAUAAGGCGGGUGUCAAGCGGGGUGUACCUCUUGCACCUUUGAGAUCGCGCACUUCGUAGUGGAGUAGAUCGCUUCGUUUCCUAGCCAGCCUUCAGAGUCACCCUUCAGCUUGGGGUAUUUCGGGAAUACCGACUGAAUCGGGAGAUAUUGUCGUUGUCGAAAGCUUUCGCGGACGUUAUUCCGUCGCCGCUAUCGAACGUUCCGGAGGACCGUCAGGUCGCUGUCCCCGGCCCCCUCGGAUCGCGGGGGUGUGAGCUCGUUGUUAGUCUGGCGGUACCUCCCGAGGUCGAGGGAGUUUGGAACUCUACGGUCGACUCACGGGGCAUCCCGACCUUGGUCGAGGUAUCGAGCGCGAGGCCGAGGGAGCUCGGGCUUACUAUCAACUUGGCGUCGCUUUUCGAGGUCGAGGGAGUUUGGAUCUCUACGGUCGACACUCGGGGCAUCUCAAACUCAGUUGAGGGAUCAUACACGAAAUCGAAGGGUCUGGGGCCGCACUCUCGAUCCGUGAUGC